rnacentral:rRNA from 1 species
ACACUGACUAGUUUUUAGUGGCGAACGGGUGAGUAACGCGUGAGCAACCAACCCUGUGCAGGGGGAUAAUCACUGGAAACGGUGACUAAUACCGCAUAUAAUACAUUUGUGGCAUUACAGAUGUAUGAAAGCUCCGGCGGCACAGGACGGGCUCGCGUCCCAUUAGCUAGUUGGUGAGGUAACGGCUCACCAAGGCGACGAUGGGUAGCCGAUCUAAGAGGAUGACCGGCCACACUGGGACUGAGACACGGCCCAGACUCC